AGAGUUUGAUCCUGGCUCAGGAUGAACGCUGGCGGCGUGCCUAAUACAUGCAAGUCGCACGAGAAAGGGCUUCGGCCCCAGUAAAGUGGCGCACGGGUGAGUAACACGUAGGCAAUCUGCCCUCGAGUGGUGGAUAACCCUCCGAAAGGAGGGCUAAUACAGCAUAAGACCACGACUUCACUGAAGUUGCGGCCAAAGUAGGCCUCUCCAUGGAAGCUUACGCUUGAGGUUGAGCCUGCGGCCCAUCAGGUAGUUGGUAGGGUAAUGGCCUACCAAGCCUAAGACGGGUAGCUGGUCUGAGAGGAUGAACAGCCACACUGGAACUGAGACACGGUCCAGACUCCUACGGGAGGCAGCAGUAGGGAAUCUUGCGCAAUGGGCGAAAGCCUGACGCAGCGACGCCGCGUGAGCGAUGAAGGCCUUCGGGUUGUAAAGCUCUGUGGGGAGGGAAGAAUAAGGCUUGGCUAAUAUCCAAGCUGAUGACGGUACCUCCUUAGCAAGCACCGGCUAACUCUGUGCCAGCCGCCGCGGUAAUUC
rnacentral:rRNA from 1 species